rnacentral:rRNA from 1 species
AUUGAACGCUGGCGGCAGGCCUAACACAUGCAAGUCGAACGAGUGGCGGACGGGUGAGUAAUGUCUGGGAAACUGCCUGAUGGAGGGGGAUAACUACUGGAAACGGUAGCUAAUACCGCAUACCAUCAUAUGUGCCCAGAUGGUAUUAGCUAGUAGGUGGGGUAACGGCUCACCUAGGCGACGAUCCCUAGCUGGUCUGAGAGGAUGACCAGCCACACUGUAACGGAGACACGGGCCAGACUCCUACGUGAGUCAGCAGUGGGGAAUAUUGCACAAUGGGCGCAAGCCUGAUGCAGCCAUGCCGCGUGUAUGAAGAAGGCCGUCGGGUUGUAAAGUACUUUCAGCGGGGAGGCGUUACCCGCAGAAGAAGCACCGGCUAACUCCGUGCCAGCCGCCGCGGUAAUAC